UACGGAGGGGGCUAGCGUUGUUCGGAAUUACUGGGCGUAAAGCGCACGUAGGCGGCUUUGUAAGUUAGAGGUGAAAGCCCGGGGCUCAACUCCGGAAUUGCCUUUAAGACUGCAUCGCUAGAAUUGUGGAGAGGUAAGUGGAAUUCCGAGUGUAGAGGUGAAAUGCGUAGAUAUCAGGAGGAACACCGGUGGUGUAGACGGCUAUCUGGACCGUAACUGACGCUGAGGCACGAAAGCGUGGGUAGCAAACAGG
rnacentral:rRNA from 1 species